GUGAGGAAUUUUGCGCAAUGACCGCAAGGCUGACGCAGCAACGCCGCGUGGGUGAUGAAGGCCUUCGGGUCGUAAAGCCCUGUCAGGUGGGAAGAAAGGCCUUAAGGAGAAAGACUUGAGGUUUGACGGUACCACCAGAGGAAGCACCGGCUAACUCCGUGCCAGCAGCCGCGGUAAUACGGAGGGUGCGAGCGUUAUUCGGAAUUACUGGGCGUAAAGCGCGUGUAGGCGGGGGGACAAGUCUGAUGUGAAAGCCCUGGGCUUAACCUGGGAAGCGCAUUGGAAACUGUUUUUCUUGAGUACUGGGGAGGAAGGGGGAAUUCCCGGUGUAGAGGUGAAAUUCGUAGAGAUCGGGAGGAAUACCAGUGGCGUAGGCGCCCUUCUGGACGGUAACUGACGCUGAGACGCGAAAGCGUGGGGAGCAAACAGGAUUAGAUACCCGGGUAGUCC
rnacentral:rRNA from 1 species